rnacentral:lncRNA from 1 species
AAUCUGUGACUGAUGGCCCUCCUUCCAUGUGAAAACAUCUGCCAAAAAUGAUAUAUAGAAUACAAUGGCACGACUGGUCAAGUAUGUAGUGAUUACGUUGUAACUAAUCCAGAUAAUUGAAAACAUAAAAUCUCCUACACCAGAUAAUUCGUUUAUGCAAAACUCAGACGAUACUAGAAACACAGCACUAUGAAUAAUAAUGACAAACAACCUCCUCAUAAAAUUCUUCCUCGAGCUCAUCCACAACUUGACCUUGAGGUCUGCUUCCAUAUAUUGAACUCAAUUCUUCAGAGCUAGAAGAGAGAUUAUGCCUCUGAUGUGGAGGUAGUCCUGCAAUAAUACGGGCAACAGCAGCUGCUGCUGCAGCCCGUGCUGGAACCUGCAACCAAAAUUGGUUGAAAGAGUCAAGACUGUGUAAAUGAAGUAAUACAACUUUGAGAAUUAUUCAAGCAGCAUAACAUGAAUAAAAACAGUUGUCUUGUGUAUAAUGAUGAACAUAAGCAACAAUUAAAACACUAAAGAAUGUUCCAUCAAAUAUCUGAGCCUUUCUCUCCAUAAAACCACCCCGAAGUAUAGCCAAUUAAAACAGUUGGCCCAAAUACAAGUUGACACAAUGACGCUGAAGAAAU